rfam:TPA: Aspergillus nidulans FGSC A4 chromosome I
GGCAAGGUGGCCGAGUGGUUAAGGCGCUGUGUUUAGGUAUUAUUACCUAUAAAAUCCGCAGUGGGAAACCUCGCGAGUUCGAAUCUCGUCCUUGUCA